CUCCCUGGAUCCUCGAGAUCCCUGAAGGGCCCUCGAAGACUACGAGGUUGAUAGGCCGGGUGUGGAAGCGCAGUAAUGCGUGAAGCUAACCGGUACUAAUUGCCCGUGAGGCUUGACCAU
rnacentral:rRNA from 1 species